GGCUGGGGUGGAUUAAGCAGGGGAGGGAACACGCACCUUUUCCCUGCUGAUCAGCGCAGAGAUCAAAUCUUGAUGGGUGGCUACCUCACGCAUCUCUGUGGUGGAUUGGCUCAGGAUGGACAGGCUUUUGGAGACGUGCCUGUUCAACACCACUUUUUCCUGCUCCUGGUUGAAACGGAUGGAACGCACCUCCUCCACAAUCCUGGGAUUCGUGGUCACCACGACGACAAACAAGUUGAGGCCGAUGAAAGCACCGAUGGUGAUGAAGACGGCAAAGUAGAUGGCGCCUCCGACCUCCAUUGCGUACUCUCUGUCCUCCAUCCUGGGAAUGGCAGCCAGGGGUUUCAUCAUUCCUCUGGCCCUGUAAGCCUCAGUUUGCUCAUCUUUAAGAUGAGAGGAUUACAUACGUGGUCUCAGCAGCUACUCUCCCCUGAGACCUGCUGCGCUGCCAGACGUCGGGGCCAACCCUCCAAGCAGCCCCACGGAGAGGCUUGUGCGUCAGUCGAGUGCAUGUUACAGCUGUACUUACAUAAACAGAAGCGCUCUGUGCCGAGCGCUGGACUACAAGAGUUGUACAGUUUCUAGACUGAUCCUCAUGGCACUCUAUGAGGAACUCCAGUCCUGCCCUAGCCAUGACAAAAUGAAACCCCAGGGCCCCGGCCGUACUCACUGGAAGUCACUGUAGAUGUCCAGCCAUCCAUCCUGGGUGAUGCAGAUGAACAGGGUGUACAGGGCAACCCCCAUGUUCUGGAAAUGCUUGGGCACGAACGCGCCAAAGAGCGUGACCCCAAACACGGAGAACACCUGUCAGAGAGAAGCAAA